CAGAAUGUGUUAUAGAUAGACCCCAGAGAUGUUUAAUUGAUAACCUAUGGAUAGCAUAUAAUAAAAAAGACACUAAAUAUUUUAUCGCAACUCCCAUAGAUGUUUAAUUAAUAACCUAUGGAUAACAUAUAAUAAGAAAGACAAUAAAUAUUUAAUAGCAGCUAUUAAUGCCUUGGGGCAAUAUUUUACAGAAAAAAAUCAAGAAAAAAGGUUUACAUACUAUGUGAUUGUACACGGUAAGACAAAUGGUAUUUUUCAAAUGUGGAUAGAAGUAUUAGACUCUAUUAAAGACAUACAAAAACCACUUUU
rnacentral:lncRNA from 1 species